rnacentral:rRNA from 1 species
GGUUAAGCGACUAAGCGUACACGGUGGAUGCCCUGGCAGUCAGAGGCGAUGAAGGACGUGCUAAUCUGCGAUAAGCGUCGGUAAGGUGAUAUGAACCGUUAUAACCGGCGAUUUCCGAAUGGGGAAACCCAGUGUGAUUCGUCACACUAUCAUUAACUGAAUCCAUAGGUUAAUGAGGCGAACCGGGGGAACUGAAACAUCUAAGUACCCCGAGGAAAAGAAAUCAACCGAGAUUCCCCCAGUAGCGGCGAGCGAACGGGGAGCAGCCCAGAGCCUGAAUCAGUGUGUGUGUUAGUGGAAGCGUCUGGAAAGGCGUGCGAUACAGGGUGACAGCCCCGUACACAAAAAUGCACAUAUUGUGAGCUCGAUGAGUAGGGCGGGACACGUGGUAUCCUGUCUGAAUAUGGGGGGACCAUCCUCCAAGGCUAAAUACUCCUGACUGACCGAUAGUGAACCAGUACCGUGAGGGAAAGGCGAAAAGAACCCCGGCGAGGGGAGUGAAAAAGAACCUGAAACCGUGUACGUACAAGCAGUGGGAGCACGCUUAGGCGUGUGACUGCGUACCUUUUGUAUAAUGGGUCAGCGACUUAUAUUCUGUAGCAAGGUUAACCGAAUAGGGGAGCCGAAGGGAAACCGAGUCUUAACUGGGCGUUAAGUUGCAGGGUAUAGACCCGAAACCCGGUGAUCUAGCCAUGGGCAGGUUGAAGGUUGGGUAACACUAACUGGAGGACCGAACCGACUAAUGUUGAAAAAUUAGCGGAUGACUUGUGGCUGGGGGUGAAAGGCCAAUCAAACCGGGAGAUAGCUGGUUCUCCCCGAAAGCUAUUUAGGUAGCGCCUCGUGAAUUCAUCUCCGGGGGUAGAGCACUGUUUCGGCAAGGGGUCAUCCCGACUUACCAACCCGAUGCAAACUGCGAAUACCGGAGAAUGUUAUCACGGGAGACACACGGCGGGUGCUAACGUCCGUCGUGAAGAGGGAAACAACCCAGACCGCCAGCUAAGGUCCCAAAGUCAUGGUUAAGUGGGAAACGAUGUGGGAAGGCCCAGACAGCCAGGAUGUUGGCUUAGAAGCAGCCAUCAUUUAAAGAAAGCGUAAUAGCUCACUGGUCGAGUCGGCCUGCGCGGAAGAUGUAACGGGGCUAAACCAUGCACCGAAGCUGCGGCAGCGACACUAUGUGUUGUUGGGUAGGGGAGCGUUCUGUAAGCCUGUGAAGGUGUACUGUGAGGUAUGCUGGAGGUAUCAGAAGUGCGAAUGCUGACAUAAGUAACGAUAAAGCGGGUGAAAAGCCCGCUCGCCGGAAGACCAAGGGUUCCUGUCCAACGUUAAUCGGGGCAGGGUGAGUCGACCCCUAAGGCGAGGCCGAAAGGCGUAGUCGAUGGGAAACAGGUUAAUAUUCCUGUACUUGGUGUUACUGCGAAGGGGGGACGGAGAAGGCUAUGUUGGCCGGGCGACGGUUGUCCCGGUUUAAGCGUGUAGGCUGGUUUUCCAGGCAAAUCCGGAAAAUCAAGGCUGAGGCGUGAUGACGAGGCACUACGGUGCUGAAGCAACAAAUGCCCUGCUUCCAGGAAAAGCCUCUAAGCAUCAGGUAACAUCAAAUCGUACCCCAAACCGACACAGGUGGUCAGGUAGAGAAUACCAAGGCGCUUGAGAGAACUCGGGUGAAGGAACUAGGCAAAAUGGUGCCGUAACUUCGGGAGAAGGCACGCUGAUAUGUAGGUGAAGUCCCUCGCGGAUGGAGCUGAAAUCAGUCGAAGAUACCAGCUGGCUGCAACUGUUUAUUAAAAACACAGCACUGUGCAAACACGAAAGUGGACGUAUACGGUGUGACGCCUGCCCGGUGCCGGAAGGUUAAUUGAUGGGGUCAGCGCAAGCGAAGCUCUUGAUCGAAGCCCCGGUAAACGGCGGCCGUAACUAUAACGGUCCUAAGGUAGCGAAAUUCCUUGUCGGGUAAGUUCCGACCUGCACGAAUGGCGUAAUGAUGGCCAGGCUGUCUCCACCCGAGACUCAGUGAAAUUGAACUCGCUGUGAAGAUGCAGUGUACCCGCGGCAAGACGGAAAGACCCCGUGAACCUUUACUAUAGCUUGACACUGAACAUUGAGCCUUGAUGUGUAGGAUAGGUGGGAGGCUUUGAAGUGUGGACGCCAGUCUGCAUGGAGCCGACCUUGAAAUACCACCCUUUAAUGUUUGAUGUUCUAACGUUGACCCGUAAUCCGGGUUGCGGACAGUGUCUGGUGGGUAGUUUGACUGGGGCGGUCUCCUCCUAAAGAGUAACGGAGGAGCACGAAGGUUGGCUAAUCCUGGUCGGACAUCAGGAGGUUAGUGCAAUGGCAUAAGCCAGCUUGACUGCGAGCGUGACGGCGCGAGCAGGUGCGAAAGCAGGUCAUAGUGAUCCGGUGGUUCUGAAUGGAAGGGCCAUCGCUCAACGGAUAAAAGGUACUCCGGGGAUAACAGGCUGAUACCGCCCAAGAGUUCAUAUCGACGGCGGUGUUUGGCACCUCGAUGUCGGCUCAUCACAUCCUGGGGCUGAAGUAGGUCCCAAGGGUAUGGCUGUUCGCCAUUUAAAGUGGUACGCGAGCUGGGUUUAGAACGUCGUGAGACAGUUCGGUCCCUAUCUGCCGUGGGCGCUGGAGAACUGAGGGGGGCUGCUCCUAGUACGAGAGGACCGGAGUGGACGCAUCACUGGUGUUCGGGUUGUCAUGCCAAUGGCACUGCCCGGUAGCUAAAUGCGGAAGAGAUAAGUGCUGAAAGCAUCUAAGCACGAAACUUGCCCCGAGAUGAGUUCUCCCUGACUCCUUGAGAGUCCUGAAGGAACGUUGAAGACGACGACGUUGAUAGGCCGGGUGUGUAAGCGCAGCGAUGCGUUGAGCUAACCGGUACUAAUGAACCGUGAGGCUUAACCUU